rnacentral:rRNA from 1 species
UACGAAGGGUGCAAGCGUUACUCAGAAUUACUGGGCGUAAAGGGUGCGUAGGUGGUUGUUUAAGUCUGCUGUGAAAGCCCCGGGCUCAACCUGGGAAUGGCAGUGGAUACUGGACAGCUAGAGUGCGGUAGAGGGUAGUGGAAUUCCCGGUGUAGCAGUGAAAUGCGUAGAGAUCGGGAGGAACACCAGUGGCGAAGGCGGCUACCUGGACCAGCACUGACACUGAAGCACGAAAGCGUGGGGAGCAAACAGG